AGGCAUGGGUCAGAUCAUUAGGCUACCGAGUUGUCGAUUCAUGGCGACCAUGGCACUUUGGGGGGCAAGUUGCUGGAUAUACACAAGGCUAUGAUCACAAUCUCACCUUCCUCACCAUAAAGGCAUGUAAGCAAGCUUUAAAGUCCAGCAGGAGAAUCUAGCAUAUUAGAUUGUCGUCUUCCAUCUUCAGUGACUUGCCCGAUGCCAUGGGUCUGGCCACACUGUUCCUGAGUACAAGCCCAAAGAAUCGCUGGCAUUCUACACCCACUGGCUGCUUGGAGAAAAGAUCUAAAUUGAUCUAAAUGAAACAAUCAAAUUUUGUAGAUAUGUAUCUUAUUAUUUUUCCUAGCUGUUUUUAUUGUAGAUUUUGAUAAAGACUGUAACUGAACCUGUUUUCAGUGUGAAACCCAAUAAACAAUCCAAGGCUCUGAUAAAUUUCCGCCUA